rnacentral:rRNA from 1 species
AGAGUUUGAUCCUGGCUCAGGACGAACGCUGGCGGCGUGCCUAAUACAUGCAAGUCGAGCGGAUCUUCAAGGGAGCUUGCUCCUGAGAAGAUUAGCGGCGGACGGGUGAGUAACACGUAGGCAACCUGCCCACAAGAUCGGGAUAACAUUCGGAAACGGAUGCUAAGACCGGAUAUGCAAGUUUGUCGCAUGACGAGCUU